rnacentral:lncRNA from 1 species
AAAGAAUGGACUCAUAAUACAAGGUAAAAGGAAUAAUUAACACGGGGGAUUAUACAAUGGAUUGGAGAACACCACCGCCACCCGCAAAAUCCCAAACAAUCUGUAGUCCACGCCACACUCCCACACACGUACACGGAGAGUCCUACUGAAUAGAAUGCCGAAUGUAAUCCAAAGAAAACAAAAGCAACAUCCUCAACGCCACCCACAAAUGGAGAAAAGAGGAGAUCGAAUGGACGGAUAUAAAUUAAAUAUGUUUUACAGCUCUGUGCGUCGAUCAGAUCUCUCUCAGUAGAAGGCGGCGGCGGCGGCCACGGCGGCGGUGGCGACCCACGCGGCGGCGGGGUAGACUCCGGCCGCGGCGCUGGGGGGAGGGGUGACGUCGCUGCUUGGGGAAGGGGUGGGAGCCAUCGGUGAUGGUGCCGGUGGCGAGGCCAUGUCGGGGGCGGGGACCGGUGCCUCGGGAGCCGGGGCCGGGGCCUUGGGGGCGGGGGCAGGUGCCAUGGGCGCCGGCGCCGGGGGUGGGGUGGCCGGGGCCGGGGUGGGGGGAGACACCGGAGCCGGGGUCGGCGGCGCCAUCACCGGAGGUGGCAUGGUCGGGGGUGCGGCCACAGGGGCGGGCGUCGGGGUGGCGGCCGGGGCCUGGGCCGAGGUGGCAGCGAAGAGCAUGGCCAAGGCCAAAGCGACGAGCUGGAAACGCGCCAUUGGAGGAGUGUGUGUGCGAGCGAGAGAGAGCAAGAAGAGCUUGUGCUUUGGGCGGCUCUUGCUUGAGGUGGUGUUGUACUGUAAUGGUGUCCGAGACAGUACAGGUAGGGAGCUUAUAAAGGGGUAGAGGACGGGGAUUACGCCACGGAAUUAAAAGUAGUGUCAGGGAGGUUAUUGCUAAUUUUCGUACAGCCUAGCCGUUGG